CGUAUUUACUCGAUUGAACGCCGCCCUCGAAUGAGCGCCGCAUUUGAGAUCAUUUUUUUUUAAAGAGCGCCGCCCCCCAAUGAGCGUCGCACUAAUUAUUUUCAAAUGCAGCGCUUAAUUGAUCCCUUUCAAAGCGACGAAUUUACGUCUUCUGAUGUCCAGGAGGCAUAUCCAACAACAGUUACAAUGCAGCAGUUGGACUCGGAACAUGAAGAGGACAGUGACAUUGAUAUUAACUUGUAA